rnacentral:rRNA from 1 species
UACGUAGGGGGCAAACGUUGCUCGGAAUCACUGGGCAUAAAGCGCACGUAGGUGGCUUGGUAAGUCCGAUGUGAAAUCCCCCAGCUCAACUGGGGAACUGCGUUGGAUACUGCUGAGCUUGAGGGUUGGAGGGGAGACUGGAAUUCCUGGUGGAGCGGUGAAAUGCGUAGAUAUCAGGAGGAACGCCGGUGGCGAAAGCGAGUCUCUGGACAACAUCUGACACUGAGGUGCGAAAGCUAGGGGAGCAAACGGG